UGCUUUCAAUACUUAUUUCACCAACAAAUUCCCUGGCACAACUACGCAUCCUAAGCAAUUCAAUCAAAGAGACACCUUUGAUCUCAACAAGACAAACUUAGUGUAUAGAUAUUGCAAGAAACAUGGACAUAUGAUUGACAAGUGCUAUAUACUCCAUGGAUUCCCACCAGAUUUCAAAUAUACAAAGGGCAAGAGGACUGCAGCAAAUGUUGAGGUGCAGGGGUAUCCAAGCUCUGUUUGGUCUCAAAACAAUGUUGAUAGUACUCAGGGGUCCUCUAAAUCAGAGUCUUUGAUUCCUAGUUUAACCAAGGAUCAAUAUUCACAACUUAUGUUGCUGCUUCAAC
rnacentral:lncRNA from 1 species